AAACUCCCCCUUUUUUUGCUUUAGCCCUUAGGGUAAAAACAAACGAUUGUUACGAUUCCUUCAUCUCAGACAGUCAGACCUAGGGAGUUCUCUUGAAUCUCAUAUUCUCACUUCAUCUCUGAUUCUCUGCUGCCUCCCCUACACGUUGAUGUUGCCACUUUCCUGCACGCAUCGCCUCCCAUGCAGCCCCUCCCCUGAACGCAAACUGUGACCCUCUCUCACUUCUUAGCCCCUCCCCUGCAUGCGGCGCAACCCCUCACCCUCAGAUACUCAUCAUUGAUAUAAAGAUGGAUCCAUCAAAUGAAAUAGAAAUACUAGGCAAUGUUCAACCUUCAAUGGAAAGGACCAUGGAAUCAACAACGACUAAUGAUCUGCUUUCUCCCAAAUCUAAUAGCUCAUAGAAGACCUAUGGAGUUCUUCAAAACCUACUUCUUUAGUUGGAGAUGAUUAAAUUUAAGGGAAGACAACUUGCAUAACAUAUUUCCUUAAGGUUUUUUUUUUUUGUUUCAUUUAAUGUAAUCACUAAAUUUUUAUUGGAAUUAACUGCUUGAUUUAUUUUCAUAUAAUUGCAAGGUUUGUUAAAUGGAUUAUUGGAGUUGGUGGCUUGGUGCAUAACUAUUUGUUCUAGUUGUAAAGUUUUUUAUUGGAUGUUCUUGUUAUUUAGAUUUGUAAUUUAGACUUUUAAUUUGGACUUGUAAUUUGUUGGACUUUUGGUCCUUGGAUUAGGUUGCGUUUGGGUACUGAGAGUACCUCCCAACA